CCUUGCUGCUACCUGGGUACCAUAAAGCUCGAAAGCCAAGCAGGAAGGGGUCAAAUCUACAAUUUGUCAUCAACAGCACUCAGGCAGUGCUGUAAAGCUGCAGCGCUGUUAAGGCAAGCACCCUCACCGCAGAGCCGUGAAUUUACAGCGCCCGUCUGCCUUUGGCUCCUCCGUGCUCAGGCUGGGAAAGGCGGGUUUAAAAGUGGCUAUUGGAAUGGUGCUUCUCAGUUGUUUAUUUUAACCACUGGUUAAUCAAGACCCAGUGAUUCUGUUGCUUGCUCUACAUGGACACCUGAAUAGUUGCUGUUUCAUGAGCUAUGACUGUAACAACAGGAAAGAACUCAAAGGAGUUUUACAGUACAGUCCAAGUGGCAGUGGCUGCACAGUGGUGAUGUCCCCUUGAGCAGGGGUGGCUCCCAAGGCCACUCCUCAAGACCAAGAGAUCCCUUGCCUGGCAUCUGAAAUCUACAGCAAGCUUGAAAACGCUUUGAUACUGCUGAAUGGCCGAGUUGCUUUGCUCUCUACUUCCUGGAGGAGCAAAAAAUAGGGAUCUGGUUUAACUGAAGGCCCAGUUAUGAAGAAGGAAAACAGGUGCAUAGAAGAGUUGCAAGCUGAUGGAGUUAGAAACC